rnacentral:misc_RNA from 1 species
AAUUAACCUCAAAUUAGCAAAAACUUCGAGUUCCACGUCAGGUAUUUCAAUAGCCCCCAAUUUAAAAUCCAAAACAUGAACAAAGAAGAUUGACCUCAGCAUAUUCUCAGCAAACAAACAGAACAAUGAAAAUUGAAUUUCACAUACAAAACAUGAAAAAAAUAAAAAAUCAACAUUUCCAUAAAAAACGAACACAAAUGAAAAUCCUAACUUCUAAACAAGCAAUUCAGAACACUAAUUACAAGGACAUUGGAAAAAAAAUUACAUCCAAAUUGAA